AGCCUGGUGGAGAUGUGGAGAACCUUUAUGUCUAGCUCAGGGAUUGUAAACACACCAAUCAACACCCUGUGUCUAGCUCGAGGUUUGUGGAUGCACCAAUCGACACUCUGUGUCUGGCUGCUCUGGUGGGGCCUUGGAGAACCUUUGUGUCCAUACUCUGUAUCUAACUGAUCUGAUGGGGACGUGGAGAACUUUUAUGUCUAGCUCAGGGAUGGUAAAUGCACCAAUCAGCGCCCUGUCAAAACAGACCACUCAGCUCUACCAAUCAGCAGGACGUGGGUGGGGCCAGAUAAGAGAAUAAAAGCAGGCUGCCCGAGCCAGCAGUGGCAACCAGCUCGGGUCCCCUUCCACACUGUGGAAGCUUUGUUCUUUCGCUCUUUGCAAUAAAUAUUGCUACUGUUCACUCUUUGGGUCCAUGCUGCUUUUAUGAGCUGUAACACUCACCACGAAGGUCUGCAGCUUCACUCCUGAAGCCAGCAAGACCACGAGCCCACUGGGAGGAACGAACAACUCCAGAUGUGCCGCCUUAAGAGCUGUAACACUCAACUGUGAAGGUCUGCAGCUUCACUCCUGAGCCAGCGAGACCACGAACCAACCAGAAGGAAGAAACUCCGAACACAUCCAAACAUCAGAAGAAACAAACUCUGGACAUGCCGCCUUUAGAACUGUAACACUCACCGCGAAAGUCUGCGGCUUCAUUCUUGAAGUCAGUGAGACCAAGAACCCACCAAUUCUGGACACAUUUUGGUGACCACGAAGGGACUUUCACCUAUUGCCAAGCAGUGAGACAAUCGCCAAACGGUGAGACUAUCGCCUAUCGCCGAGCGAAUUGAGGCCAUCAAGCUACAGAUGGUCUCACAAAUGGAACCCCAAAUGAGUUCAACUAACAACUUCUACCAAGGACCCCUGGACCAACCCGCUGGCACUUCCCCUGGCCUAGAGAAUUUCCCUCUGAAGGACACUACAAUUGCAGGGCCCCUUCUUCGCCCUUAUCCAGCAGGACGUAGCUGGAGUGGUCACUGGCCAAAUUCCCAACAGCAGUUGGGGUGUCCUGUUUAGAGGCGGGAUUGAGAGGUGACAGCGUGCUGGCAGUCCUCACAGCCCUCACUCGCUCUCGGCGCCUCCUCUGCCUGGGCUCCCACUUUGGCGGCACUUGAGCCCUUCAGCCCACCGCUGCACUGUGGGAGCCCCUUUCUGGGCUGGCCAAGGCGGGAGCUGGCUCCCUUGGCUUGCGGGGAGGUAUGGAGGGAGAGGCGCCAGCGGGAACUGGGGCUGUGCGCAGCGCUUGCGGGCCGGCUGGAGUUCCGGAUGGGGAUGGGCUUGGCGGGCCCCCCCCACUCGGAGCAGCCGGCCGGCCCUGCCCACCCUGGGCAAUGAGGGGCUUAGCACCCAGGCCAGCGGCUGUGGAGGGUGUACUGGGUCCCCCAGCAGUGCCGACCCACUGGCACUGCGCUCGAUUUCUCACCGGACCUUAGCUGCCUUCCCAUGGGGCAGGGCUCGGGACCUGCAGCCCGCCAUGCCUGAGCCUCCCACCCGCUUCAUGGGCUCCUGUGCGGCCGGAGCCUCCCCGACGAGCGCCACCCCCUGCUCCACGGCGCCCAGUUCCAUCGGCCACCCAAGGGCUGAGGAGUGCGAGCGCACGGCGCAGGACUGACAGGCAGCUCUACCUGCAGCCCCAGUGCAGGAUCCACUGGGUGAAGCCAGCUGGGCUCCUGAGCCUGGUGGAGAUGUGGAGAACCUUUAUGUCUAGCUCAGGGAUUGUAAACACACCAGUCAGCACCCUGUGUCUAGCUCGAGGUUUGUGGAUGCACCAAUCGACACUCUGUGUCUGGCUGCUCUGGUGGGGCCUUGGAGAACCUUUGUGUCCAUACUCUGUAUCUAACUGAUCUGAUGGGGGCGUGGAGAACUUUUAUGUCUAGCUCAGGGAUGGUAAAUGUACCAAUCAGCGCCCUGUCAAAACAGACCACUCAGCUCUACCAAUCAGCAGGACGUGGGUGGGGCCAGAUAAGAGAAUAAAAGCAGGCUGCCCGAGCCAGCAGUGGCAACCCGCUCGGGUCCCCUUCCACACUGUGGAAGCUUUGUUCUUUCGCUCUUUGCAAUAAAUAUUGCUACUGUUCACUCUUUGGGUCCAUGCUGCUUUUAUGAGCUGUAACACUCACUGCGAAGGUCUGCAGCUUCACUCCUGAAGCCAGCAAGACCAGAGCCCACUGGGAGGAACGAACAACUCCAGACGUGCCUUAAGAGCUGUAACACUCACUGCAAAGGUCUGCAGCUUCACUCCUGAGCCAGCGAGACCACGAACCAACCAGAAGGAAGAAACUCUGAACACAUCCGAACAUCAGAAGGAACAAACUCUGGACACGCCGCCUUUAGAACUGUAACACUCACCGCGAAAGUCCGCGGCUUCAUUCUUGAAGUCAGUGAGACCAAGAACCCACCAAUUCUGGACACAAGGGGACUUCCCAUUUCAUCCCCUCCCUUGCUUUCCCCUGCCUUGCCUUCACAGGGUCGUGGUCAAGUUUAAAUGGCAUUGUGUAUAGAAAGGACUUGAUGCAGAUUAAGGGUGUAGUAAAUAAUAUUACAAUAAAUGUAUUCUGUUGAC